rnacentral:rRNA from 1 species
GGAUCCAGACUUUGAUUAUGGCUCAGAUUGAACGCUGGCGGCAGGCCUAACACAUGCAAGUCGAGCGGAAACGGCAACAUUGACUCUUCGGAUGAUUUGUUGGACGUCGAGCGGCGGACGGGUGAGUAAUGCUUAGGAAUUUGCCCAGUCGAGGGGGAUAACUAUUGGAAACGAUAGCUAAUACCGCAUACGCCCUACGGGGGAAAAGAGGGGACCUUCGGGCCUUCUGCGAUUGGAUAAGCCUAAGUGAGAUUAGCUAGUUGGUGAGGUAAUGGCUCACCAAGGCGACGAUCUCUAGCUGGUCUGAGAGGAUGAUCAGCCACACUGGAACUGAGACACGGUCCAGACUCCUACGGGAGGCAGCAGUGGGGAAUAUUGCACAAUGGGCGCAAGCCUGAUGCAGCCAUGCCGCGUGUGUGAAGAAGGCCUUCGGGUUAUAAAGCACUUUCAGCAGUGAGGAAGGUGGUAGUGUUAAUAGCACUAUCAUUUGACGUUAGCUGCAGAAGAAGCACCGGCUAACUCCGUGCCAGCAGCCGCGGUAAU